AAGAUGGCGACCGGCGCACGGGUGAGUGACACGUAUCCAACCUGCCGAUAACUCCGGAAUAGCCUUUCGAAAGAAAGAUUAAUACCGGAUAGUAUACGAAUAUCGCAUGAUAUUUUUAUUAAAGAAUUUCGGUUAUCGAUGGGGAUGCGUUCCAUUAGUUUGUUGGCGGGGUAACGGCCCACCAAGACUACGAUGGAUAGGGGUUCUGAGAGGAAGGUCCCCCACAUUGGAACUGAGACACGGUCCAA
rnacentral:rRNA from 1 species